rnacentral:rRNA from 1 species
AGUGAGGCCUCCGGACUGGCCCAGGGAGGUCGGCAACGACCACCCAGGGCCGGAAAGUUGGUCAAACUUGGUCAUUUAGAGGAUGUAAAAGUCGUAACAAGGUUUCCGUAGGUGAACCUGCGGAAGGAUCAUUA